AAARAAUCCAGAGUGGCCAAAACAAUGCUGCCUUUGGACUGAAGGAAAGAUUUAGAGCUAAAGUGUUUGUUAUUUGAAGGUUUGGUGGGCAGCAUGGUGGAACAGUAGUUAGAAAUGUCACAUUUCAGUGAGAAGAUCGAAUGAUUGCCUCCCAGCCUGAGGUCUUUUCUGGGUGGUGUUUACAUGUUCUCCCUUGGCAUGCAUGGGUUUUCUUCAGGUACUUCAGUUUCUCCCCAAAGAAUGAAAAAAAAAAAAAAAAACGUGCAUGUUAGGUUAAUUGGUAACUCGAAAUUCAUCCCUAGUUGAUGGACCUGUGACCUGUCCAGGAUGUACCCCGCCUCUCGCACAACGACUGGAGGAGAUAAGCAGAACCCCGUGACCCUGAAAGGAAAAGCUGGUUUUAAAAAAAUGGAUGGAUGCAUUCGAACACAUAUCUUAAGGCCUGCGGACCAAAUCUGGGCCUUGUUUCCAUUUUAUCCAGUCCCAAAGGUCUUCCAAGAUGCAUUAGCACUUGAAGUAUGUUUUGAGGACAACUCUCAG